AGAGUUUGAUCCUGGCUCAGGAUAAACGCUGGCGGCGCACAUAAGACAUGCAAGUCGAACGAACUUAAUUGAGAGCUUGCUCUCAAAGCGGUUAGUGGCGGACUGGUGAGUAACACGUAAGCAACCUGCCUAUUAGAGGGGAAUAACAGCGAGAAAUCGUUGCUAAUACCGCAUAUGCUGUGAGUAUCGCAUGAUACAAGCAGGAAAGGAGCAAUCCGCUAAUAGAUGGGCUUGCGUCUGAUUAGUUAGUUGGUGGGGUAACGGCCUACCAAGACGAUGAUCAGUAGCCGGACUGAGAGGUUGAACGGCCACAUUGGGACUGAGAUACGGCCCAGACUCCUACGGGAGGCAGCAGUCGGGAAUAUUGCGCAAUGGAGGAAACUCUGACGCAGUGACGCCGCGUGCAGGAAGAAGGUUUUCGGAUUGUAAACUGCUUUUAACAGGAAAGAAAAAAUGACGGUACCUGUUGAAUAAGCUCCGGCUAACUACGUGCCAGCAGCCGCGGUAAUACGUAGGGAGCGAGCGUUAUCCGGAUUUAUUGGGUGUAAAGGGUGCGUAGACGGAAAUGCAAGUUAGUUGUGAAAUACCUCGGCUUAACUGAGGAACUGCAACUAAAACUAUAUUUCUUGAGUAUCGGAGGGGUUUGUGGAAUUCCUAGUGUAGCGGUGAAAUGCGUAGAUAUUAGGAAGAACACCGGUGGCGAAGGCGACAAACUGGACGAUAACUGACGUUGAGGCACGAAAGUGUGGGGAGCAAACAGGAUUAGAUACCCUGGUAGUCCACACCGUAAACGAUGGAUACUAGGUGUUGGCAAUGAAUAAUUGUCGGUGCCGGCGCUAACGCAAUAAGUAUCCCACCUGGGGAGUACGACCGCAAGGUUGAAACUCAAAGGAAUUGACGGGGGCCCGCA
rnacentral:rRNA from 1 species